AUUCCAGCUCCAAUAGCGUAUAUUAAAGUUGUUGCAGUUAAAAAGCUCGUAGUUGGAUUUCUGGUUUGAUGCCCUGGCCCGCUUCAAAUUUUGGAGUGUGUGCCGGCUGUGCGUCUGCCAUCCUUCUAGAAAACGUUCGUACCCUUCACUGGGCCGCGUUCGAGAUCUAGAUCUUUUACUUUGAAAAAAUUAGAGUGUUUAAAGCAGGCAGUUGCUAUGAAUACAUUAGCAUGGAAUAAUAAUCUAGGACUUCGGUUCUAUUUUGUUGGUUUCUAGUACUGAAGUAAUGAUUGAUAGGGACAGUCAGGGGCACUCGUAUUCCGCCGAGAGAGGUGAAAUUCUCAGACCAGCGGAAGACGAACCACUGCGAAAGCAUUCACCAAGGAUGUCUUCAUCA
rnacentral:rRNA from 1 species